GUUCAACAAAUGAAAUUUAGUUUCAAUGUAGAGAGUUGAGCAAUGCCAUAUAUCUUGAGAAGGCUAAGUAUUGGGACACUUCAAAGCUUCAAGUCAUAUCCUUCUUGCUGAAGGCUUUAUUCAAAGAAGAGGUGCGUGCAGAUUGUUUCAUGUGUAAGCGAUAGCUCGUUACAAUUUUCUGUAUUGGGCAAUAUAAUUGUUUUUUGUUCACUUUCUGCUGGCAUUUAGAGAAGGGAAUGAUGGACUGCCCACAUGCAAAGUGCACUCCUUGUAUCAGAUUGUAAUGGCAGAGCUUGAGAAGUUGGGUCAGAAAUAUCGUGUGGCUCUGAGGCUGUCCGUAUCAAAGGAGUUGCAGCUGUGGGAUGAAUAGUCUUGAUGUUUGUAUUUUGAUGGGUGCAACUGUAAAUUCUUAGUUAGUAUAUUUAUUGUAUGAUACAUUUUAAAAUAUAGUACAGAGUACAAUACAAGAAUGUAGAGGUGCCAAUUGGCACCUUAUUUUUUUAAUCCAACCUCAUAAAUUUGCCACUGAUAACAGUGGCAUUCCAAAGCCACUAAUAUCAGUGUGGAUUUAGAUUCUGACUUUGCAUUGGAUGAAGUUAUUCCACUGUUGUUUUAUCAGUGUGUAUUGUCCCAAUAGCACCUGCA